rnacentral:rRNA from 1 species
UACGUAGGCAGCGAGCGUUGUUCGGAGUUACUGGGCGUAAAGGGUGUGUAGGCGGUCGUUUAAGUUUGGUGUGAAAUCUCCCGGCUCAACCGGGAGGGUGCGCCGAAUACUGAAUGACUUGGAGUGCGGGAGAGGUGAGUGGAAUUCCUGGUGUAGCGGUGAAAUGCGUAGAUAUCAGGAGGAACACCGGUGGUGUAGACGGCUCACUGGACCGUAACUGACGCUGAGACACGAAAGCGCGGGUAGCAAACAGG